UGUUGCUUUGGCAGUACAUAAACUAAAUUGGAAUGAUACAGAGAAGAUUAGCAUGGCCCCUGCGCAAGGAUGACACUGACAAUAUGUCUAUGCACUCAAUAUUG